rnacentral:rRNA from 1 species
AACGAACGCUGGCGGCAGGCUUAACACAUGCAAGUCGAGCGCCCCGCAAGGGGAGCGGCAGACGGGUGAGUAACGCGUGGGAAUCUACCCAUCUCUACGGAAUAACGCAUGGAAACGUGUGCUAAUACCGUAUACGUCCUUCGGGAGAAAGAUUUAUCGGAGAUGGAUGAGCCCGCGUUGGAUCAGCUAGUUGGUGGGGUAAAGGCCUACCAAGGCGACGAUCCAUAGCUGGUCUGGGAGGAUGAUCAGCCACACUGGGACUGAGACACGGCCCAGACUCCGACGGGAGGCAGCAGUGGGGAAUAUUGGACAAUGGGCGCAAGCCUGAUCCAGCCAUGCCGCGUGAGUGAUGAAGGCCCUAGGGUUGUAAAGCUCUUUCACCGGUGAAGAUAAUGACGGUAACCGGAGAAGAAGCCCCGGCUAACUUCGUGCCAGCCGCCGCCGUAAAAC